rnacentral:rRNA from 1 species
UGCCAGACUCCUACGGGAGGCAGCAGUGGGGAAUAUUGGGCAAUGGGCGCAAGCCUGACCCAGCAAUGCCGCGUGAAGGAAGAAGGCUUUCGGGUUGUAAACUUCUUUGACAGGGGAAGAGCAGAAGACGGUACCCUGAAAACAAGCCACGGCUAACUACGUGCCAGCAGCCGCGGUAAUACGUAGGGGGCAAGCGUUAUCCGGAUUUACUGGGUGUAAAGGGAGCGUAGGUGGCAGGGCAAGUCAGAUGUGAAAACCCGGGGCUCAACCCCGGGAGUGCAUUUGAAACUGUCCAGCUGGAGUGCAGGAGAGGUAAGCGGAAUUCCUAGUGUAGCGGUGAAAUGCAUAGAUAUUAGGAGGAACACCAGUGGCGAAGGCGGCUUACUGGACUGUAACUGACACUGAGGCUCGAAAGCGUGGGGAGCAAACAGGAUUAGAUACCCGUGUA